UACAGAGGGUGCAAGCGUUGUUCGGAAUUAUUGGGCGUAAAGCGCGUGUAGGCGGCUUGGCAAGUCGGGUGUGAAAUCCCUCAGCUCAACUGAGGAAGUGCGCCCGAAACUGCUUUGCUUGAGUGUCGGAGAGGAUGGCGGAAUUCCCCAAGUAGAGGUGAAAUUCGUAGAUAUGGGGGAGGAACACCGGUGGCGAAAGCGCUCUGCUGGGCCGCAACUGACACUAAUGGACGAAAAGCUAGGGGAGCGAAUGGGAUUAAGAA
rnacentral:rRNA from 1 species